AUCCUGAUUGCUGGUUUUGGCCUGGGGUGUUGCCCUCUACAAGAUAUGUGCUUCAGAUGGACGUUUUCAUCACGCAGGCGGUACGUCAUAAGUAAAACUUGUGAAAUAGUUUUACGUACGAGGGAAAAAGUAACGCUAAUAUGUGUCAUUCUGGAAACUUUCUACUGUGACUGAUGAAGUGGAAACUGUAUCUCCGCUGACAUCAUCUUCACAGAAGGGCAACCUAUCCUAAGAUCUCCACCCAAUGUAAUCACUUGAAGGCUACAUCUAUCAAUAUGCCUACUUAUCUUGUAAAUUGGUUGUCAAGCUUUUCCCAAAGUGUCAAUACUCUUUCUUAUUCAUCUCUCGACAGAUCAAGGUCAGGGAAUUGUUGUUGGUUUUAAUGAAUGCACUCUAAUUGAUUGGUAUAAGGUCCGGAAUGCAUUUGUGUUUCUGGAUGUUGGUUUUACUCUUAGUGUAUGAAGGAGUGAAAUCUUUUUACAAGGAAGAAGAUGCAGCUCUUCCCGUUAAUGCUUAAGUUGCAGCUGAGCAGUUUAUCUCUGAGAAACGGACACAUUUGGGUAUCCUAAGUAGUAUGGACCCAUUGUCUGCUGAUGGUGCUACAAUGCUUGUGCUGCCCUUCACUGAAGAUGAGGUUUGGAGAGUGAUUUCCAUUAGCGAUGGGGACAAAGCCCCUGCUCUUAAUGCUUUCAAUUUAAACUUUUACGACAGAGGAGGUUAUGAAAUUCAAGAACAACACCUUCUAUUCCGGUCAAUGCUGCUGGGAAACUACACUUGAUCCUUAGUCGAUGCCAGUCGUGAUGCUCAUUUUUAUUUAAUGCCAAGAUAGCUUAGCCCAUUAUUUACUUUUGUUUUGAAUAAUUAAUGAAGAAACUCUCAUUAAUCCAAUGAUAAAAGAUAUUCAUAUUAAUAAA